rnacentral:rRNA from 1 species
UACGUAGGUGGCAAGCGUUGUCCGGAAUUACUGGGCGUAAAGCGUGCGCAGGCGGUUCGUUGUGUCGGUGGUGAAAUCCCCGGGCUUAACCUGGGAAUGGCCAUGGAAACUGGCGAACUGGAGUGCGGCAGAGGGGGGUGGAAUUCCGCGGUGUAGCAGUGAAAUGCGUAGAGAUGCGGAGGAACACCGAUGGCGAAGGCAGCCCCCCUGGGCUAGCACUGACGCCUCGAGGCACGAAAGCGUGGGGAGCAAACAGG